rnacentral:rRNA from 1 species
GAUGAACGCUGGCGGCGUGCCUAAUACAUGCAAGUCGAGCGAACGGACGAGAAGCUUGCUUCUCUGAUGUUAGCGGCGGACGGGUGAGUAACACGUGGAUAACCUACCUAUAAGACUGGGAUAACUUCGGGAAACCGGAGCUAAUACCGGAUAAUAUUUUGAACCGCAUGGUUCAAAAGUGAAAGACGGUCUUGCUGUCACUUAUAGAUGGAUCCGCGCUGCAUUAGCUAGUUGGUAAGGUAACGGCUUACCAAGGCAACGAUGCAUAGCCGACCUGAGAGGGUGAACGGCCACACUGGAACUGAGCCGCGGUCCAGACUCCUACGGGAGGCAGCAGUAGGGAAGCUUCCGCAAUGGUCGAAAGCCUGACGGAGCAACGCCGCGUGAGUGAUGAAGGUCUUCGGAUCGUAAAACUCUGUUAUUAGGGAAGAACAUAUGUGUAAGUAACUGUGCACAUCUUGACGGUACCUAAUCAGAAAGCCACGGCUAACUACGUG